GCAGGUCGAGACGGACGGCCGCGACCCGACACGGCCGAGCGUGGUCAGCCCCGAGAUCGGCCUGGGCUCGUGUCCAAUGCCGGAGCCGGUCCUGUCGCCGGGCGGCGAGCCGGCGGCCGGCCCGCAGGCGCGCGCCGAGGCCAAGACCGGCAUCCUGAAGACGGAGGCGUCGUCCGCGGGGCGCCGCCGACAGAACGUGGCGCUGCAGGCUCUGAUGAAGUCGGGCCCGCGCGUGCCAGCGCCGGCCGAGGAGGCGCGACUCAGGGAGGGU